rnacentral:rRNA from 1 species
GACGAACGCUGGCGGCGUGCUUAACACAUGCAAGUCGAACGGAAAGGCCCGGCUUUUGCGGGGUGCUCGAUAGGCGAACGGGUGAGUAACACGUGUGUAACCUGCCCCUGACAUACGGAUAUCAUUACGAAACACGGGCUAAUAUCGGAUAGGAGCUCCUGCAGCGUGUUGGGGUUGGAAAGUUUCGGCGGUUGGGGAUGGAAUGGCGGCUUAUCCGCUUGUUGGGGGGGUUGGGGCAUGUCACGGCUUUGCCAGGUAGCCGGCCUGAGCGGGGAACCGGCGACAUUAGGACUGAGAUACGACCCAGACUCCAACGGGAGGCAACGGUGGAGAGGAUUACACAAUGGGCGGGAGCCAGAUGCGACCACGCCGCGUGCGGGAUGACGGGCUUGGGGUUGUGAACCAAUUUCGACUGACCCAUGGAGUUAGUGACGGUAAUGGGUAAAGAAGCCCCGGCUAACUACGUG